rnacentral:lncRNA from 1 species
CACAAACACUCAAUCUAUUACAAUGGCUUCCAUUCAAAACUCUGACUACUAUUUUCCAUACUUUCCUUUGCCACCACCUCAUAAUCCUCAAUCUCCUCCAAAAGCAGCACCACCUCACGGCUCUCCAUCUCCUCCAAAAGCAACACCACCGCAUGGCUCUCCAUCCCCUCCAAAUGCAGCACCAGCUCACAAGGCUCCCUCGCCUCCAAAGACACCACCAACUAAUAGUACUCCACCACCCCACAACUCUCCAUCUCCU